rnacentral:rRNA from 1 species
GACGAACGCUGGCGGCGUGCUUAACACAUGCAAGUCGAACGGAAAGGCCCUGCUUUUGUGGGGUGCUCGAGUGGCGAACGGGUGAGAAACACGUGAGUAACCUGCCCUUGACUUUGGGAUAACUUCAGGAAACUGGGGCUAAUACCGGAUAGGAGCUCCUGCUGCAUGGUGGGGGUUGGAAAGUUUCGGCGGUUGGGGAUGGACUCGCGGCUUAUCAGCUUGUUGGUGGGGUAGUGGCUUACCAAGGCUUUGACGGGUAGCCGGCCUGAGAGGGUGACCGGCCACAUUGGGACUGAGAUACGGCCCAGACUCCUACGGGAGGCAGCAGUGGGGAAUAUUGCACAAUGGGCGGGAGCCUGAUGCAGCAACGCCGCGUGCGGGAUGACGGCCUUCGGGUUGUAAACCGCUUUCGCCUGUGACGAAGCGUGAGUGACGGUAAUGGGUAAAGAAGCACCGGCUAACUACGUG